CAGGUGGGGAAAUCUCAAACCCAGGAAAGGCCUGACAAGCAGCUUGUGUCUGAGAUGCAAACUGGGAGAUUUCUUAAACAAGUAGGGGGCCUGCAUGAAGUGAGGAGUAAACACAAAGAUAAAAAUUCAGAAAUGAUGUGGUAGAAGGUGCAGUUAUUUACAUGAUUCAGCCUGUCAUUCAGCUGAGCAAUAUCCAUUUUUGAAAGGAGUAUUACCAGCAUGCCAAGUGAGAGAAGGCAUCAAGAGCCUUGCAGGAACAGCUUCACAAGGGAGGAGAAGCCAAUAAUGCAAAGUAUGAUUGCUAUGUAAGUGAAAUUUUGAAUUCAUUUAUGCACACAUCCACACAUAUUAUGGUAUAGUUGCAGAGGCUAUCACUUCUUUCAAAAAUUCCACACCGAAGUUAUAGCCUGCGUGUCAGGGGAAACUGUCUCGAAAAUUGAUUGUCAUUACAGAAUUGAGUACAGAGCCAAUUCUACUGACUCCCUUACAACUGCCCUCUACCUUGAACUUGGUAAACAAAAACUCAUGUGUACAUCCUCACAAGGUGGAAUCCUGCUAGGAUAAUAGGUGCUUCAGAGAGUUUAUUGGAAGAAAAUGUUUCUGGGAAACGUACUGCUUUCUGCUGGACUAAGGGAGACUGGGAAAUAAGAAUAGAUCUAAAGCUUUAAUGUGUCUAAGUGGAAGAAAACAUGGUUGUGCUGUUUAGCACUUUAUGUUAGAUUUGGCUGAGACACCAGCUUGGUUUUAUUUCU